rnacentral:rRNA from 1 species
CCUACGGGGGACAGCAGUGGGGAAUAUUGCACAAUGGGGGAAACCCUGAUGCAGCGACGCCGCGUGAAGGAAGAAGUAUUUCGGUAUGUAAACCUCUAUCAGCAGGGAAGAAAAUGACGGUACCUGACUAAGAAGCCCCGGCUAACUACGGGCCAGCAGCCGCGGUAAUACGUAGGGGGCAAGCGUUAUCCGGAUUUACUGGGUGUAAUGGGAGCGUAGGCGGUUGAGCAAGUCUGAAGUGAAAGGCCGGGGCUCAACCCCCGGACUGCUUUUGAAACUGUAGGACUAGAGUGCAGGAGAGGUAAGUGGAAUUCCUAGUGUAGCGGUGAAAUGCGUAGAUAUUAGGAGGAACACCAGUGGCGAAGGCGGCUUACUGGACUGUAAAUGACGCUGAGGCUCGAAAGCGUGGGGAGCAAACAGGAUUAGAUACCCUUGUAGUC